CUUGAAUAAACCUCUGAAACUAUGCCCCAAUAUCACUGUCAGCAGGCAUGAGGCUGUGAUCCAAGAUGAGAGACCCAAAGCCUCCUGUGUGAAGAGGAUUCAGCAGGAGGCAGGAAGCCGGGUUCCUGUGCUGAGGAAAUGUGGGCUUCUGAAGGUGCAGUCAGUGGACAAGUGUAUAAGGAACAGCUCAGUGAUACAUGGAAUAGAAAUGCACUCCAGGCAUGCUGGGAUACAGAGGAAAACUAUGUGCCCAUGGAGGUGAUUCCUACAAGAAUUUACUGAGGAGAGGGAUCUGGUGAGCAAUCCAGAAAAAGGGUUCUAGGUUCCUUCCUGAGGGUUCCUCACAGGCCGCCUUCAGAGACGGAGGAGGCAGCAUCCACGAAAUAAGCCCAAAUCUGUGCCUCUUCCACACGAACAUUGCACACACUGUUCUAGAACCUGGUGUGGCUCCACAAGGAAGAGCCCCUGCUAGGCGAGCAGCCACACAGAAUGCAGGUAUGCCUGGGCCCUGAGAAGGAUGGCUUUGCCUUUUGGCCUGGUCUUUUGUUGGCUGGCAAGCAUUUUGUUUUCCAG
rnacentral:lncRNA from 1 species